rnacentral:rRNA from 1 species
CUCGUAGGUGGUUCGGUAAGUCGGAUGUGAAAUCUCCAGGCUCAACCUGGAGGGGUCAUUCGAUACUGCCGUGACUAGAGUUCGGUAGAGGAGUGUGGAAUUCCUGGUGGAGCGGUGAAAUGCGCAGAGAUCAGGAGGAACACCCGUAGCGAAGGCGGCACUCUGGGCCGAUACUGACACUGAGGAGCGAAAGCGUGGGGAGCGAACA